CAUAAUCAUUAGUUUUUUAAUUGAAAACUAGUAUGAAAGGUUAAACAAAAAAAUUUCUGUCUCUUAUUAAAUGAUUGAAAUUAACUUUUAAGUGAAAAGGCUUAAAUUUUUUAAGGGGACGAUAAGACCCUAUAAAGUUUAAUAAGAAUAAAGAACUUUUUUGAAAAAGAUAUAAAAGAAAGAGCUAGCUUUUUAUUUUACUGGGGCGGUACAGAUAAAAGUAAUUUAAUAACUGUCAGAAUUAAAAACAGCGGUGCUUGAUUAGUAAGAUCCUAGUUAAAGAUUAUAAGACUAAGUUACUUUAGGGAUAACAGCUUAAUUUUUUUAAAGAGUUCAUAUCGAAAGAAAAGUUUGAGACCUCGAUGUUGAAUUAAAAUAACUUUACGGUGUAGCCGCUGUAUAGA
rnacentral:rRNA from 1 species